rnacentral:rRNA from 1 species
AGCGAACGCUGGCGGCAGGCCUAAUACAUGCAAGUCGAGCGCACCUUCGGGUGAACGGCGGACGGGUGAGUAACGCGUGGGAGCGUGCCCUUUGGUACGGGAUAACUGAGGGAAACUUCAGCUAAUACCGUAUGUGCCCUACGGGGGAAAGAUUUAUCGCCAUUGGAGCGGCCCGCGUUGGAUUAGGUAGUUGGUGAGGUAAAGGCUCACCAAGCCUACGAUCCAUAGCUGGUCUGAGAGGAUGAUCAGCCACACUGGGACUGAGACACGGCCCAGACUCCUACGGGAGGCAGCAGUAGGGAAUCUUGCGCAAUGGGCGAAAGCCUGACGCAGCCAUGCCGCGUGUAUGAUGAAGGUCUUAGGAUUGUAAAAUACUUUCGCCGGGGAAGAUAAUGACGGUACCCGGAGAAGAAGCCCCGGCUAACUUCGUGCCAGCCGCCGCCGUAAAAC